AGGUCUAGGACAGAGCCACUACUCCCUCUGCUCCAGGUCUAGGACAGAGCCACUACUCCCUCUGCUCCAGGUCUAGGACAGAGCCACUACUCCCUCUGUUCCAGGUCUAGGACAGAGCCACUACUCCCUCUGUUCCAGGUCUAGGACAGAGCCACUACUCCCUCUGCUCCAGGUCUAGGACAGAGCCACUACUCCCUCUGUUCCAGGUCUAGGACAGAGCCACUACUCCCUCUGUCCCAGGUCUAGGACAGAGCCACUACUCCCUCUGUUCCAGGUCUAGGACAGAGCCACUACUCCCUCUGCUCCAGGUCUAGGACAGAGCCACUACUCCCUCUGCUCCAGGUCUAGGACAGAGCCACUACUCCCUCUGUUCCAGGUCUAGGACAGAGCCACUACUCCCUCUACUCCAGGUCUAGGACAGAGCCACUACUCCCUCUGCUCCAGGUCUAGGACAGAGCCACUACUCCCUCUGUUCCAGGUCUAGGACAGAGCCACUACUCCCUCUGCUCCAGGUCAGGACAGAGCCACUACUCCCUCUGCUCCAGGUCUAGGACAGAGCCACUACUCCCUCUGUUCCAGGUCUAGGACAGAGCCACUACUCCCUCUGCUCCAGGUCUAGUACAGAGCCACUACUCCCUCUGCUCCAGGUCUAGGACAGAGCCACUACUCCCUCUACUCCAGGUCUAGGACAGAGCCACUACUCCCUCUGCUCCAGGUCUAGGACAGAACCUUUACUCCCCCUACUCCAGGUCUAGGACAGAGCCACUACUCCCUCUACUCCAGGUCUAGGACAGAACCUUUACUCCCCCUACUCCAGGUCUAGGACAGAGCCACUACUCCCUCUACUCCAGGUCUAGAACAGAACCUUUACUCCCUCUACUCCAGGUCUAGGACAGAGCCACUACUCCCCCUACUCCAGGUCUAGGACAGAGCCACUACUCCCUCUGUUCCAGGUCUAGGACAGAGCCACUACUCCCUCUGCUCCAGGUCUAGGACAGAGCCACUACUCCCUCUGUUCCAGGUCUAGGACAGAACCUUUACUCCCUCUACUCCAGGUAUAGGACAGAGCCACUACUCCCUCUGUUCCAGGUCUAGGACAGAGCCACUACUCCCUCUGCUCCAGGUCUAGGACAGAGCCACUACUCCCUCUACUCCAGGUCUAGGACAGAGCCACUACUCCACUCCCUCUGCUCCAGGUCUAGGACAGAGCCACUACUCCCUCUACUCCAGGUCUAGGACAGAGCCACUACUCCCUCUGCUCCAGGUCUAGGACAGAGCCACUACUCCCUCUGUUCCAGGUCUAGGACAGAGCCACUACUCCCUCUACUCCAGGUCUAGGACAGAGCCACUA